CAGUUCGGAUUGCAGGCUGCAACCCGCCUGCAUGAAGUUGGAAUUGCUAGUAAUCGCGGAUCAGCAUGCCGCGGUGAAUACGUUCCCUGGCCUUGUACACACCGCCCGUCACACCAUGGGAGCCGGUAAUACCCGAAGUCAGUAGCCUAACCGCAAGGGGGGCGCUGCCGAAGGUAGGAUUGGCGACUGGGGUGAAGUCGUAACAAGGUAUC
rnacentral:rRNA from 1 species